ACCUACGGGAGCGCAACGGUUGAUGGGCGGAUGAGGCUCUGACCGCGGACGGCGGCGGCGGCUAAAGGGCGAGGAAGACUUCCAAGCCUCCCGUGUUCUUCCGUUGUUCGGUCGACACACGACAGCGUGUCCCAGGGGUGGCAAUACAUACAGGCAGUGAACAAAUUCAUGGGAUUAGAGCUUUACAAAGAACUGGUCCUAACACAUUUUGCAAUAUUCUAGGAACUUGCCAUUUAUAUGAAGCCCUUAUCAUGCUACAACUGAUUAGAUACAUAAAUUAUGUAUUAAAAAAAUAUUUUCCUUUCACGGGUACUGCUAUUGCAACAGGCUGAAGUGUUUUUUAUUGAAUCUGAAGACAGCUGUAUAAAUUUAGAGAAGUUAGAUUUCCAUGUGUAAUUAUGUUUCUUCCAUUUCAUUUUAUUCCCUAGAUUUUUAUCUGUUAUAAAGAGAUUACAAUCUGAAAGUAAGAAAACAACAGAGAUAGGACAUCUUAAAUAUAAGACCAGGAGACCAUGGUAAAUCUGUCUUUGGGUAGAUAAAUGUCCUUAGUCUCAACAUUUGUCGAAUUUUCUAAUUACUACAUGCAUUUUACUUUUUUUUAAUCGACAUAUGCACUUUUGCCAGAAGAGGUUUAUGUUACAAAAGCUUGCCAAUAGCAAGACAAACCUUAGAGUAAACGUAUUUUACCGAAUUAUAGUUAUAACAGAAAGUAGGCAAAUUGGAUAAGAUCAUCAAUAAACUCAAAUUUGUUAUGAUGGACCAAAAAUUUGACGAAUCCAUUCAAAUAAGACUUACAAACCCAUCUAAAAAAACAAACCAAAAUAGGAUUCACCAACAUAAUAUUGACAACUGCGAUGUGUUGGAAGUAAAAACUUUUGUUUACGGAAAUAAACACACUCAAACAUUAAACACGAGGUAAUAGGCAUCUUCAUGCAUGCUCAACCGAAAUGUUACUAGAUACUUAUUUCUCACCAUUUUCCUUCCCAAAUUGACAAUUAUGCGACCUGCACAAACACAUCACCAGACAACGGCAUGUGGUAGAAGGCAAUGAAACUGACCAAGAAGAACGAGAACUCUCCGACACACAUCCAUGAAUGCUCGUACAAAGAUUUUGGCGUCUUCACCAAACCAGAAGUGGACGAACACAUCAUCAUCGGGUCGGAGACGAAUGCAUUAGCGAAACUGAUGAAGACGUCUUCGUAGGAAACGCUCCAGGGGGUCUACUCUAUUGCACCUAUUGGUGUGGAUGAAGACACGAACCAAGUUACUUGGUUGUACCGCCCGCAUAGCGUCCGAUGAGAUCAGACUAGGCCAUCUCUCUACUACUCACAAGUUAUGUCCUCCAAACAAUUUUUGUGAUGUAUAUGCACAAAGGGUUACUCUGUACAGUUUAUAUAGAGAAGGCUUAACGACGGAUUCAUGUUGGCUUUCCCAUGAUCCACUUCCA